rnacentral:rRNA from 1 species
AGUUCUCGUUGAUGAUCGGUGCUUGCACUGAGAUUCAACAUGGACCUUUUGGCGGACGGGUGAGUAACACGUGGGUAACCUGCCCUCCAGUGGGGGAUAACAUUUGGAAACAGAUGCUAAUACCGCAUAGAUCCAAGAACCGCAUGGUUCUUGGCUGAAAGAUGGCGUAAGCUAUCGCUUUUGGAUGGACCCGCGGCGUAUUAGCUAGUUGGUGAGGUAAUGGCUCACCAAGGCGAUGAUACGUAGCCGAACUGAGAGGUUGAUCGGCCACAUUGGGACUGAGACACGGCCCAAACUCCUACGGGAGGCAGCAGUAGGGAAUCUUCCACAAUGGACGCAAGUCUGAUGGAGCAACGCCGCGUGAGUGAAGAAGGCUUUCGGGUCGUAAAACUCUGUUGUUGGAGAAGAAUGGUCGGCAGAGUAACUGUUGUCGGCGUGACGGUAUCCAACCAGAAAGCCACGGCUAACUACGUGCCAGCAGCCGCGGUAAUACGUAGGUGGCAAGCGUUAUCCGGAUUUAUUGGGCGUAAAGCGAGCGCAGGCGGUUUUUUAAGUCUGAUGUGAAAGCCCUCGGCUUAACCGAGGAAGCGCAUCGGAAACUGGGAAACUUGAGUGCAGAAGAGGACAGUGGAACUCCAUGUGUAGCGGUGAAAUGCGUAGAUAUAUGGAAGAACACCAGUGGCGAAGGCGGCUGUCUGGUCUGUAACUGACGCUGAGGCUCGAAAGCAUGGGUAGCGAACAGGAUUAGAUACCCUGGUAGUCCAUGCCGUA